AGUGUGAUCCCCUGGCCAGUCCCUAAGCACGUGGGUUGGGUUGUCCUGCUUGGCUGCGGAGGGAGUGGAACCUCGAUAUUGGUGGUGUCCAUCGUGGGCAGCGGACUAAUAAAGGCCAUGGCGCCAGCAGAAAUCCUGAACGGGAAGGAGAUCUCCGCGCAAAUAAGGGCGAGACUGAAAAAUCAAGUCACUCAGUUGAAGGAGCAAGUACCUGGUUUCACACCACGCCUGGCAAUAUUACAGAUUGGGAUCAAAGCCACUCACAUUAAGUUACCAAGAACAACCACAGAAUCUGAGGUGAUGAAGUACAUUACAUCUUUGAAUGAAGACUCUACUGUACAUGGGUUCUUAGUGCAGCUACCUUUAGAUUCAGAGAAUUCCAUUAACACUGAAGAAGUGAUCAAUGCUAUUGCACCCGAGAAGGAUGUGGAUGGAUUGACUAGCAUCAAUGCUGGGAAACUUGCUAGAGGUGACCUCAAUGACUGUUUCAUUCCUUGUACGCCUAAGGGAUGCUUGGAACUCAUCAAAGAGACAGGGGUGCCGAUUGCCGGAAGGCAUGCUGUGGUGGUUGGGCGCAGUAAAAUAGUUGGGGCCCCGAUGCAUGACUUGCUUCUGUGGAACAAUGCCACAGUGACCACCUGCCACUCCAAGACUGCCAAUCUGGAUGAGGAGGUAAAUAAAGGUGACAUCCUGGUGGUUGCAACUGGUCAGCCUGAAAUGGUUAAAGGGGAGUGGAUCAAACCUGGGGCAAUAGUCAUCGACUGUGGAAUCAAUUAUGUCCCAGAUGAUAAAAAACCAAAUGGGAGAAAAGUUGUGGGUGAUGUGGCAUACGACGAGGCCAAAGAGAGGGCGAGCUUCAUCACUCCUGUUCCUGGCGGCGUAGGGCCCAUGACAGUUGCAAUGCUCAUGCAGAGCACAGUAGAGAGUGCCAAGCGUUUCCUGGAGAAAUUUAAGCCAGGAAAGUGGAUGAUUCAGUAUAACAACCUUAACCUCAAGACACCUGUUCCAAGUGACAUUGAUAUAUCACGAUCUUGUAAACCGAAGCCCAUUGGUAAGCUGGCUCGAGAAAUUGGUCUGCUGUCUGAAGAGGUAGAAUUAUAUGGUGAAACAAAGGCCAAAGUUCUGCUGUCAGCACUAGAACGCCUGAAGCACCGGCCUGAUGGGAAAUACGUGGUGGUGACUGGAAUAACUCCAACACCCCUGGGAGAAGGGAAAAGCACAACUACAAUCGGGCUAGUGCAAGCCCUUGGUGCCCAUCUCUACCAGAAUGUCUUUGCGUGUGUGCGACAGCCUUCUCAGGGCCCCACCUUUGGAAUAAAAGGUGGCGCUGCAGGAGGCGGCUACUCCCAGGUCAUUCCUAUGGAAGAGUUUAAUCUCCACCUCACAGGUGACAUCCAUGCCAUCACUGCAGCUAAUAACCUCGUUGCUGCGGCCAUUGAUGCUCGGAUAUUUCAUGAACUGACCCAGACAGACAAGGCUCUCUUUAAUCGUUUGGUGCCAUCAGUAGAUGGAGUGAGAAGGUUCUCUGACAUCCAAAUCCGAAGGUUAAAGAGACUAGGCAUUGAAAAGACUGACCCUACCACACUGACAGAUGAAGAGAUAAACAGAUUUGCAAGAUUGGACAUUGAUCCAGAAACCAUAACUUGGCAAAGAGUGUUGGAUACCAAUGAUAGAUUCCUGAGGAAGAUCACGAUUGGACAGGCUCCAACGGAGAAGGGUCACACACGGACGGCCCAGUUUGAUAUCUCUGUGGCCAGUGAAAUUAUGGCUGUCCUGGCUCUCACCACUUCUCUAGAAGACAUGAGAGAGAGACUGGGCAAAAUGGUGGUGGCAUCCAGUAAGAAAGGAGAGCCCGUCAGUGCCGAAGAUCUGGUGGGUACCCAGACACGCCAGGCUUGGCGACAUAUCUGUGUCUGUUGUCCUAGGGUCUUUCAGCAGUUAUUAAUAACAAAAUGUAAUGCUGUACUUAAGACAUUGCAAUUAAUUCAUCAAUUUAAUCCUAUUUUGCUAAUUACAAGAUAAUUAUGAAAUGUUUAAAAAGUACAUCAGAGUG
rnacentral:sRNA from 1 species